GUUUUAGACCACUUUGUUUUAGGCGUGGACAACUAAAGUCUGAUCUAAAGCCAAAAAUGUUGUAGUGGGAAGAGGAGGCACGGUGGUUGAGACCAUCAGAGCGUGAAAAUGAGACCCUGGCAGUCAACCCUCAAGGCAAUAUGGUCCUAUUAUAAGACUCUUCAAAUGCAUGCUAAGAAAAACCCAAACAAGUUAGAGACCUCCUUCACAUUGCUAGAAAUUUAUCGACCGGACCGGACUAUUCGCAAGUCGCAACAAGAGUAUUACCCUUCAAAACAACUUCAUCCGACAAUAGCUGCUAAAGCAUCGUAUUUAGUGGCAAGACAAUAGUUCACUUUGAUGCCUAAGAUAUUGAAAAAAUUGCACCAUCAGAAAAGAAUAAUUGAGACAAAGUGAAUUUUAUUUUUAAACAAACUUUUAAAACUAGUUUGAUGAUAGCAUAAUUUCCCUGCAACUUAACCAAAGAGAAUCCCAAACUUUGGCUUCAUUUUCAUUCAUCACAAGUGAAUUGGGGAUUUUGUCAUAGUUCAUAUAUACUGCCAGAAGAGGAAAUGCAUCGGAGUACUGAUAUCUAUCAUGCAUCAGAACUUAUGUAUAUGCCUAUAUGGUAAUAUAACAAUGAUCUUUUAGAUCUUCUUCAUUUAAUAUUUUAAUAACUAAUAAUAAUAUAAUUAAAAAACCAUUGCGUGUGAGUUACACUGCUAUAUUCUUUAAAACCAAAAUAAAUUUAACAACCACUUUUGGCUUAUCUUGUCUUUCAUAGUAGCCACAAAGAUUCCCAUUACCAACAAUAGACAAAAACAACAUUAUCUAUUGUGGUGGUCUCCCCACACAGAUAAGGUUGUCAUAAUCAUGAUUCUAUCACUUGCAUCAAUCCCCAUCCAACUUUUAACUAAAAAUAUUGGAAACAUGCACAAGAUCAUGCAUUGUCUCUGGCAAGUGGUUGAACUACCCUCAAUUGUCUUUAGCUAGUGCCUAAAUCUAAGGUUGUUGUAGAGGCCGUUGCACCGUAGAGGCAAUAUAUCAUCUAAAUCCCCAUAAUAGCACACAAAUAAUUUCUAUCGACGAUUUGCCGGUAUAACACUACUUAAGAAAUAGAAAACAAGGUUGCAACAUCUGCAGAGGAUCCCCAUACACUAUUACAUAAUCUUUGACACAAGUUAGUCGAUUAUCAGCUAUCUCCCUGUGACUAGUCUCUUCUGCUAUUCAGAUUAUAAGCAAAUGAUUAGAUAAGAAUCUUUACCAAAAUUUAUAAUUUCAUAAUGCAGCCAGAAAUUGUCCACAUAAACAUAAAAUGCAACUAUAAUAUAUCUCACCAUCUGGGACAAAAUGCAAAGGCAAUUUUGGGAAAUAAUACAAUCAUCAAUUCCACAUGCAUCUAACAAUGACAGAAUGUAUUACUAUUCAAUAUAUAGACAAAGCCACUUUUUUCUUCUUUUUUUGUGAACAAAAAUCACUCUCAUUAUACCCUUCAAAAUUCAAACAUGUUAUGUUAAAGAUAACAUGUUUGUGUCUUGGAAUCUCUUUUGAUGAACAAUUUAAUUAAGUGUUUAUAGCAUAACCGAUUAUGAC
rnacentral:lncRNA from 1 species